AUUGAACGCUGGCGGUAGGCCUAACACAUGCAAGUCGAACGAGUGGCGGACGGGUGAGCAAUGUCUGGGAAACUGCACGAUGGAAGGGGAUAACUACUGGAAAAGGUAGCUAAUACCGCAUACCAUCGGAUGUGCCCAGGUGGGCUUAGCUAGUUGGUGGGGUAAAGGCUCACCUCGGCGACGAUCCCUAGCUGGUCUGAGAGGAUGACCGGCCACACUGGAACUGAGACACGGUCCAGACGCCUACGGGAGGCAGCAUGAGGGAAUAUUGCACAAUGGGCGCAAGCCUGAUGCAGCCAUGCCGCGUGUAUGAAGAAGGCCUUCGGGUUGUAAAGUACUUUCAUCGGGGAGGCGUUACCCGCAGAAGAAGCACCGGCUAACUCCGUGCCAGCAGCCGCGGUAAUUC
rnacentral:rRNA from 1 species